rnacentral:rRNA from 1 species
GAUGAACGCUGGCGGCGUGCCUAAUACAUGCAAGUCGAGCGAACAGACGAGGAGCUUGCUCCUCUGACGUUAGCGGCGGACGGGUGAGUAACACGUGGAUAACCUACCUAUAAGACUGGGAUAACUUCGGGAAACCGGAGCUAAUACCGGAUAAUAUAUUGAACCGCAUGGUUCAAUAGUGAAAGACGGUUUUGCUGUCACUUAUAGAUGGAUCCGCGCCGCAUUAGCUAGUUGGUAAGGUAACGGCUUACCAAGGCAACGAUGCGUAGCCGACCUGAGAGGGUGAUCGGCCACACUGGAACUGAGACACGGUCCAGACUCCUACGGGAGGCAGCAGUAGUGAAUCUUCCGCAAUGGGCGAAAGCCUGACGGAGCAACGCCGCGUGAAUGAUGAAGGUCUUCGGAUCGUAAAACUCUGUUAUUAGGGAAGAACAAAUGUGUAAGUAACUAUGCACGUCUUGACGGUACCUAAUCAGAAAGCCACGGCUAACUACGUG